rnacentral:sRNA from 1 species
GGCUGUUUGCAGUGGGGAAACCGAGGCAGCUCCUGCUCCCCCUAGUUCUUCCGCUCCUGUGAGGUGGCUGCUGUUUCUUUUCCUCUUGCCCCGGCUGCAUCGGUGCGGCUGCGCUGAGAGUGCGCGGGCUCGCCAGCCCCGCGGGGUUCUGCGGGAACCCGGGGGCGCCUGGGCCGGCGGGUCUUUGUGCGAGCCCUGCCCUCCCAUUCGCGGGCGGCGCGCGAGGGGAUUCGGCGCAGCGACGCCCAGAGCCCUGGGGUGCUCAGGCGCCGCUAGGCGUGCAUCCCCUCUGCUCGGCAGUUCUGCGCUUUUGUCCUAAUGAGCGCGGACUAGAUGGCUUGGUUUUCAAGAUAAUGAUCAACACAGCUGUGCUUUGCGCUGUUUCUGCACUGACCUGCGGGUACUUCGAACUUCGACAGUCCCUCCUCAGGCCCUAGUCCAGAGAUGACGUGUCUGUGGGAAUGUUUAAGGCAGGAAGGAGACGAGCAAUUUUGUUUUUAAGUAUCUCCCUCUCACUAGUAUCUCCCGUUUUCAUUUAGAAGCUGAAGAAUUUUCUUAUGGCAUAAGAUACAGUUGUAUCGAGUGUGUACUUAAAAAAACAAAACAAAAACUUGUUAGUAUUUCUGCCCUUGACCUAUUGAAUGGAAAAUCAAGAAUGAGCUAAGGUGUUAUAUACUCAGUGUUCAACUUGUAUACUUAAGUUUGUAGUGUUUUUAUUUGCUGACAUCACCUGACUGGGACAGUUGUAACGAAUUAUCCACAUGGGAUAAGAAAAGCGUAUUCUAUAAAAACAAUUCUGAUGUUUUGGUAUAUGUUUUAAUUGUUGAUUAGUUGGGGUCCUCUUGAUCUUGAACUGUUGAGCCCCAGUUCUCAAAGAAUGGGAAAUUAGGAAACUAAGAUAUGAAAUACAAUUAUUUAGCAAAAAGUGCAAACCAUUCUGUUAUUCUUUCAAGCCAUUGAAUAGUUUGAGUACGUUGUUUGAAUUUUAGUUUUGAAAAAGUGAUAAAUUGGCCAUUUGAUCAUCAUUUAAUUAAGCGGUAUAUAUUACACCUGCCAUUGUUUUUAGAUGCCUAAUUAAACUGUCACAAAACAGACACAAUGAAAUAAUAGAUACAUAAUUUGAGAUUUGAUCAGUUGUAUAAACUAAUUUUUUAAAUUUUAAAAUUCAGUUUAAGGUCAUUAAGCUUGUCUCGUAUAUUUCCCUCCUCCAGGAAAAAAAAAUGUUUAUUUCUUUGUGGGAGUUCUUCUAUGGGCACUUUUUUCGAUUUUGGAUGAAAUGGCUAUUACGACAGAUGACUGGGAAGUGUGAAUUGCAGCGAAUAUUUGAUACCUAUGUAGGUGCACAAAGGACACACAGGAUAGAAAAUUCCUUGACAUACUCCAAGAAUAAGGUAGGAUAACAUAAAGGUGGUAACUCUAGAAAACUUAACUUGAACAUAUUUUUUCUUAAAAAAUAAAAAGUGCCCUGCUAGAAGAGUGUUUUCUAUAAUGAGCAUUGAGUGAAAUUUUCCCCGUUUAGAGGUAAUAUUCUGUUUUCAAGCAUUUCUCUAUAUAUGUGUUUUUUGUGUGUAUUUCAAAGAAAAUACUUGAAUAAUUUGUCUUGUUCUGAGGUUUUACUUGUUUAUUUUGCUUUAAGAGUUGAUAGCUUUUAGGAAAGCAGGGCCUUAGGAGGAAAGUCAUCUUUUAGACUGUGUCCUCAGGAUAGAUUAUAUGAGAGAAAAGCAACUUAGGAUAGAGAAAACCCUGGGUUGUGUACCUUUUCAGCUAAAAUAAGUCAUAAUUCAUGCUAUGUAUUAGUCAGCUUUUGCUGUGUAACAAACUAUUAUAAAAUCUCAGGGGCAUAAAACG